CUCUUUGGAGUCCUUAAAUGAAAUCACUGGCCACUAAGAAAAAAAUUAUUUGAAUGCUUUAUAUUGCAUAAUAUAAACAUUUAUGUCAGAUUGACUUUUGAAAGCUUUAUCAGCAAACUGUUAAAUUUAAGGUGAUUUAAGAAGAGGAAGUCUGUGACCAUAGCCGAAAACAAAUCAAACCAAGCAAAUGAAACGGAAUGUAUAAGUACAUGUAAUUGUGGCCCCGAAACUAAAAAAUAAAAAAAAACUCAAAUAAGAAUGGUUACAAACGUACAUUUAAUAUAAUAUGAAUGCAUUUGAAAAAAAACUAAAACGAAAAAGGAGAUUACGAAAAAUUUCUGAGAAGUUGGUAAACGCUUGCCUUUUCGGCACUAUAACCUUGGCAUUAGCUGAAAUAACAGUAACAAUUCUGCUGCUUGUUCUCUAAGGAAUUUAGAAGAAAUAUUUGAAAAGUAUGUCGCAAAGACGGAAGGAGUUUUUCAAGCGAGCACUCGAUUUUAUUGGAGAUAUGCUUAUAUGGGCUUCGCUUAUUGUCGGCACAUACUUUGUAAUUGCAUUUUAAUGCAAUAAAUAAAGCAGUUAGAUGAUAAACUUUUUCAUUGAAA